rnacentral:miRNA from 1 species
CUGUUGCCGGAGCUGUUG